rnacentral:rRNA from 1 species
CGCGUGGGAAUCUACCUCGUAGUGGGGGAUAGCCCGGGGAAACCCGGAUUAAUACCGCAUACGUCCUAAGGGGGAAAGCAGGGGAUCUUCGGACCUUGCGCUAUGAGAUGAGCCCGCGUCGGAUUAGCUAGUUGGUGGGGUAAAGGCCUACCAAGGCGACGAUCCGUAGCUGGUCUGAGAGGAUGAUCAGCCACACUGGGACUGAGACACGGCCCAGACUCCUACGGGAGGCAGCAGUGGGGAAUAUUGCACAAUGGGGGAAACCCUGAUGCAGCCAUGCCGCGUGUGUGAAGAAGGCCC